rnacentral:misc_RNA from 1 species
AAUGGCCGCAGUAAUUUGACUGUGCAAAGGUAGCAUAAUCAUUAGUUUUUUAAUUAAAAGCUUGUAUGAAAGGCUGGACGAGAUAAAAUCUGUCUCAUUAUAAUUUUAUUAGAAUUUAAUUUUUAAGUUAAAAAGCUUAAAUAUUUAUAAAAGACGAGAAGACCCUAUAGAGUUUUAUAAAUUUAUAAAAUUAAUUAUUUAUGAAUUUUUUAUUUUAAUUUUAUUAAUUUAUUUUAUUGGGGUAAUAAAAAGAUUAAAUUAAUUCUUUUUAAAUUUAAACAAUAAUUAUUGAUUUAUUGAUCCAUUAGUAUUGAUUAUAAGAUUAAAUUACCUUAGGGAUAACAGCGUAAUUUUUUUGGAGAGUUCUUAUCGAUAAAAAAGUUUGCGACCUCGAUGUUGGAUUAAAGAUUAAUUUAGGUGUAGAAGUUUAAAUUUUUGGUCUGUUCGACCAUUGAAUCUUUACAUGAUCUGAGUUCAAACCGGUGUGAGCCAGGUUGGUUUCUAUCUUUAUUUAGGUUUAAUAUUUUAGUACGAAAGGACCAAAUAUUAAUUAAAUUUUAAUUAUUAAUUGAAUAUUAUUGUUACUUUGGCAGAUUAGUGUUAUGAAUUUAGAAUUCAUUUAUGUAAUUAUUUUA